GGGGCUGUAGCUCAGCUGGGAGAGCGUCUGGUUUGCAACCAGAAGGUCGGGAGUUCGAUCCUCCUCAGCUCCACAA
rnacentral:tRNA from 1 species